CACCUGGGUGACACCCACUAGGCAAAAUGCUUCUAGUCUAAAUAGCUGGUUGUGAAGGACCCAUUCAGGGUAAUGGGCCAUUAGGGAAACAAUAGGCAUUAGGAGAAGCUUAUCCCCCACCUGGUGAGCCUUCCUGAGAAUGCUGCAAACA